AUGGUAUUUAAAUAAAUUUAAAAAAAAAAAACAAUGAAGGGAAUUUUAAUGACUUUUCCAUUGUUACACUUUUUAGAAUUUUCAAAUUCCUAUUUAAGAACUCAUAAGUGGAAUUUUUGUACUAGUGUGUUCUUCAGCUAUACAGUGAUACAGCUUACGUGAUUCGACUCUUUUACGUUACAUUCACCUACACACAUAUAACUGCUUUAUUUCUUUAAUUUCACCCAUACGUUCAUUCCUCGCGUUCGCUCACUCCUCCACAGGAGGCGGCGCUGUGCCACGAGCCGUCGACGCCGAGAGAGAGCCGAGGAAGAACUGGCAUUGCCUUUCAAAUAAUCACAGUCGCCCGCCCACUGUCCGAUGCUGUUUGCAUCGAAAAUAUUAUCGAAUGCAUGAAAAAGAUCAUCUCUGCUGUUGUGAAAGCGCUUUGCGAGUAAGAUUCUCAGCACCGAACUGAAGAGUGUGGCACUGAUACGCCUGAAGUUGUGAGCGAGAAGCUGCAACGUGAUGGAGGUUGAGAAUAAAGAAGGAACCGAGAGCCCUCUGCCCAACGGCAGCACCCAUCCACCCAAACGUGGACGAGGCAGACCACGAGGGUCACUCAAUAAAAAGUUCACUACCGAGAAAGCGCCGACACACAAUGCCAGGCCAUCUAAAAAGGUGGACUUCUUUUCUCCCGACAUAGUCAUAAAGACCAAGGUGAAGAAACGUGGUCGACCAAAGAAGAUAAAAAUGCCUGGCAGGCCGAGAAAGAUCCCGCUCACGCCUGAGGAAGAAUCAGAGAGACUUCACAGGAUGAGUUUACAGCGCAAGCGGAGACUGUCAAAGCCGCUCGGAAGACCACGCAUUCAUCCCAUCGCUGAAGGAUCCAAAGUAAAAAGAGGCAGAGGAAGACCACGCAAGUACGGUGCCAAAUCCGGUUCACAAAGCGGUGGAGUUGAAAUCAGUCUUGAUGCCUCCAACGGUUCUCCACGAAAGAGAGGGAGGCCGGCGGGCUCGUUGAAGAGAAAGAGGGGUCGGCCCGCAGGUUCUACCAAGGUUGCCAAGAUUGCCAGGGCCUCAGAUGGAACCCCAAAAAGGAGAGGUCGCCCUCCAGGCUCUCCAAACAAGGUGAAGAAGAUUCAGCGGGCUGACGGAUCUCCUCGAAAGAGAGGCCGGCCCCCAGGCUCUGGCACCAAACUGAAGGCCGACCUCCAGGUACCGGAAAAGUCAAGGUGCAGUCCGCAGAAGGUGGAGAGACGGGAGGUGAGAACGCAGAUGGCGCCCCUCCACGUCGUAAGAGAGGACGUCCAAGCAAAGUCAGACUCGCAGUCGUGCUCGAAAAACUCCCCACGGCAUCAGCGGAGGAAGAUGAGGAGGAGACCGAUGCAACCUCUCCCAAACAAUCCCGCACCUCUGAUGAUUCGUCGCAAAAUCCAAACGAUGAUGAUGAAGACACCAGGGCGAGCGAGAACGACGCAGACCCAGAAGACGAAGAAGAUGACGAAGAUGACGCCAUUGAUUGUUCAAAAGUCAACAACACAAGCGAGAACGAGAUGGUGGGCAAAUUCAAAAAAAAGAAAUGAAAAGAUAAGGGGCUUCGUUGAAAAUUGGUGGGUAUAUUUUUCGAAGGGUUUUAAUAGGCUAUGUCGAUAA
ensembl:lncRNA